CUUCACCGAUGCUUUUAAAAGGAAUUAAAUCCAUGUUUUUGUGUUGGAUUUGUAUUCGUAUCAGUUCAGUACAGCACUAAGAAAGUUUAUUUUACUGCAUCUAACAUAUUCAGUCAUGUUAACCAGUGUGUAUGCACUAAACUGUGAUGAAGACAAACACAUGUCUUUGUAAACUCUGUUUAUUGUGACAGCAGUUGAGAUUGCUUCGGUUCACAGGGUUUUAUUUGUUGGUCUUAUCUCAGUCUCUUUCUCGUAACUGAGACACGUUUUGGUUUUUAGUAAACUCCACCCAGCACAUGCAGCUUCCAGGAUCUGAGGUAGGACAUAUCAACAGCAUCACAGGUAGUGUUAAUUUCGUCAGACGAGACAAGACGAAAUAUGUUCGUCAACACCCUUUUUUUUCAUGACUAAGACGAGACGAUGACAAGACUGCACCACUGACCAAAAACGCUGACUAAGACUAAAUUGACAUGCAUUAUUGUUUACGAAAAAAGACGAGACGAAAAUGUUUUGUAUAAAAUAAAAACUAAGAUAAAAUCUCUCUUCAUUUUCGUCUACAAUUGUCUCUGCUUUUUCAUCAGCUGUUACGCCUUUAAAAUAUUCACAACGAGUUCGCGGCUUCGCUGUUGCUCAAGUUACAGGUCCGCGAAGCGGAUCCCGCUUAUUACAUUGCUACCUAUCAAAUAAAUCGAUAAUUUGACUCAAAAUGAUGAUUUAAAAAGGAGUUUAUUGAUUUAAAAACAAUUGUAUUGUUUCCACAAAAGAAAAUAGUGCGCUCCGUCUCUACGGUUAGAAUCCUGUGUGUCCAUGGCAACGCUCUGUUUUUCAUGGCAACGGUGUGUUAUAGUUCGCAGCGGUCUGUUAUCAAGAAAUAAAAUAGUGUGUGUGUAGAAACAAUUCAUCCACACGCCGCUCAAAAAAAUAUUAUUAAAAUAAAUAAAAACUCCUGAGCACAAGUCCACCCCUGGUCUAGUCAGGCUUUUUGUGUUAAAUUAUAUUUCCUGUCGCUGCGCAGGCUCUUUUAUUGUACAUGACAGCUUAUGUCCCGAUGACCGGUCUUUGCAUUACGAUUAAAAGCAGUAUUAAUAAAGUAAACAAUGUGGUGUGCAGUCAAGUUCGAGUGUAUGCACUGUUUAAACGAGUGUUCUCAACUUCUCACUGAUACUUUUGUGAUUUGCGGAGUUUUGACAAGUUUUAUAGCCUUGAUAUAAAGUGGUGACAGAAAAAACUCAGCACCCUCAACCUGAAACCUCUUCCUACGCUCCUGUCACAAUCACAUCAUAAUCAAAAUUAAUAAUUAGGCUUAAAAACAAAUGUAUAUGUGAGGGAAUCAAGUUUAACAAUUACAUGUAAUAUUGCUCCAAAUAUCAUCAAUAAUGGUGCGUGCAAUACCAUGUAUAACUUGCAUUAAGUCGGUAAUUUAUAUAUUUAUAUAUAUACACACCUACAGUUUUGAUCUUAGGCUUUUCAUUAAGUUAUUUACUGUAUUUCCACUAUAACACUUGUGUUCCUGAUAUUAUUGCAUUUAAUAUCACGUACACGACAUAUCAUCGCAUAUCAUCGCAUUCACCAGGUUUUGCUACACCUGGAACUUAGCUCUGGUUAGCCGUUUUCUGCAUUUGCCCUUAUGUUUCUUCAAUAAACAUCGUGUACUGCACUUCGGUUUCCGGCACGUUCUUCCACCUGACAUCGGCUUACCCACAGAUACCAUACUGUCUGUGGUGAAAAUCACCUGUCUUAUAAUCCAACCUCUAUUCAUCUGAUGCAAUAGGAAGUAAAAUAUGUUUACUUACUGCAGUGUUAAUGUUAUUUUUUACAUCAAAGAAUGUCAGAAUUCUGUGUCAGAAUGUCCUUUUAAUCUUUUGGGGAGGGAUCUCAUGAGCAGGCUACACGUUUCUAUUAGCUUCUCUGGCUCUAAACUUGUCGUACCAUCCCCAUCUUUUGCUUUACUAGACACUCUACCGCCCUCAUUGUGGGCUGAUCAUAAGAAUGAUGUGGGUCUCGUGCAGUGUACACCCUAUGAAGCUAAGUCAAAACAUUUAGACCCUGUGUUUGUUAAACAAUAUCCUUUGUUUGAAGCUAAAUUGCAGGGCGUGGAUGGAGAUUUACAAUCUCUUCUACAACAGGGGGUAGUCAAACCAUGUGUAUGUUCAUACAACACUCCUGUCAAUCCGGGUCCCUAAACCGGAUGGGUCCUGGCACUUCACACAAGACUUGAGGAAAAUAAAUGACAUCAUCAUCCCUGUUGUGCCAGAUGUGGCCUCAAUUCUCACCUCAAUUCCAUGUGAACAUACUUUCUUUUCUGUUAUUGACUUAUGUUCUGCCUUUCUCAGUGAUCCUGUCGAAGAGCAGACACAGCCUCUCUUUGCCUUCACACACAGGGGACGGCAGUAUAUGUGGACACACCUACCACAAGGGUAUAUUGAUUCUCCGGCAGCUGUAAAGGAUGCAUUAUGUGAUCUUGUUCUCCCCACUGGUUCUGUUGUCUUGCAGUAUGCAGAUGACCUCUUAGUCGCCGCAGCCUCUGAAAAACUCUGUGAACAAGCCUCCCUUCGCCUCCUGCGCCAUCUAGCUUCAAAAGGCUUCAAGGUUUCAAACCCAAGUUGCAGUUCUGUCUACCCACGGUGAAGUAUCUGGGGUUUGAACUCUUACAAGGCAGAAGAAAACUCUCUCAAGACCGUAUACAGAGAUACAGCCUUUUAAGAGAAGGUGCCUUCAACCUCCUGGCUUCUCCCAUCAUCACUACACGACACUCAGCAGUGACCCCACGGACCCUUCUGUGUGGGUUCUUUGGACAUUAUUAAAGCUGCAGGAGGUGACGGGAAAGGCUACAGAGAAAUGAACGACCACCUCUAGUUUAGUACAGGACACACAACCAGUGACCAGUAUGGUUGUCAUCCUCCUCAUCUUGAUCAUCUGCCUUGGGACAGGGUUACCCGUCCAAGCGCACCCUCAUGACAACGAAUUCUGAGAAGUGACUGAGGGUCUGGCCCAGGCCAGGCAACAUACUAAUAGUGAUUACUCAUUUAGCAUGGCUUCCAGAGAAAAAUAGAUAAUCAUAUAUGAGUGGAAGCAAUGGAACAAUGUGUCAAUAGAAAGUAUAAAUAAACCAUCUCUCUCACACACACGCACUUAUACAACAAUAUCUGUCUCAGCCGAUCAAUUCGAACUGUCUACGUGACCCCAGCUCCACUUUCACCACCACGUAGCAGAUAUGUGCUGCGAACGUCAUUUUUCUGGAGGCUGCAGAUUCAUGUGAGGAUCAGGACACAGUGCAGUUACAUACAUGAUACAUGACAUAAUAAUAUGAUUAUUCUAGAAAAAUACUACUAUUGUGUAUCCAUACCGAGAUCAUCUCCCAUCUUAAUCACAGCUUCUCUCUGCUCGUCAUCCGGUGCAGCGGAGCACAAAAGUCGAGCCAGAGGAAGGCACCACUCCUUCAAUGUCUGGACAUUUCUGUCCUGUAGCACAAAUUAACAUGUUAUUCAGCACGAUACUGGCAAAAAUAGACCUUCAAGAGGAGGGAGGCGACAUUGCACAUCAUCACCUUCUGUAUAAGAACUAUCAUUAGCUAACACAUCUACUGUAGGUUUUGGGGAUGUAGCUUAAUGAACCUGCAAUACUUACUCCAUUUUGAUGGCAGAACAAUUCCAUUAUCUGCCAGAAGAUAUAUUCUUCCACUUGGUUGCAUUUAUGACUAUUCUGUAUUUUCCACUGAAUAAACUGCAGCAGAUUCUCCUUCUGCAUGUUUUUGCUGAAA